AAAAAAAAAGUGCUGGCAGGUUUCAAUUAACACACGUAAGUGUGUGUUUUUCUUACAGCAGAAAUUUAUAAACUAAUCUAGAUGGGAAUAGAUAGCUAGUGUGUAUACAAUUAAAUUUCUUUAGUAAAGACUCAUAAGUGGGUAUAUGAUACUUGGUUGUACUUCACAUUCAAAGAAACAAGAAUAUUUGAGCAGUUUCGGGCUUCUCAUCGAAUCAUGGAUCAGAGGCUAAUUAGUUCGGGGUUUCUAAACCUCUAAUCCAAGAAUAAUCUAAGGUGCUGAAAGGAUGGACAAAGUAUCCAUAUACUUACUACCGAUCUUUCAAAGGCGAGUAACGGUUAGAAUAGAAUGGUAGGUAAUAUUCAGAAUGCAUCUAGACAUGUAUGAGAAUAUGUACCUAUCGCCUUAUUAGAAGGCUACUUCAUACGAGAUCGAUCUAGAUAUCUAUCGUAUGGGUAUGCCAUAUGUUAUAUAUAUUUGAAUGCAUAAAAUUACCAGAAAUUAUAGAAUAGAAAUAAUGGGUAGUACUCGGAAUGUAUAUAGACAUGUAUGAGGGUACGUACCUAUUAUAUUUUAGAAGGUAACUCCAUUUGGGAUCGAUCUAGAAAUCUCUCUUAUGGGGUAGGCCACAUGAUAUAUGUACGUUAGAGUACAUUUAUAGAAUUAUUAGAAAAGGAAUUCCUUAUAUGUUAGAAUAUGUGUCUGAACAUGCUUUAGACUAUGCUCUCAGAAUACAUAUCUAAAUGUUUUUCAGAUUA